rnacentral:lncRNA from 1 species
GUGAAAGACAGCUCGUGAUGCAGCUGGUAAGAGAGCCUACCAGGGAAGGAGCCCUGCUAGACCUGCUGCUCACAGAGAAGGACUGGUGGGAGAUGUGGAGGUCAGGAGCUGUCCUGGACAGAGUGACCACUGAAAGGUUCAUGGCUCAGGCAGCACCAAUACCUCUGGAAUUCAGAAUGUAUCCAUUCCAAUCUGGGGAGUGGGUCUAUCAAUGGACCUGGAGCUUCAAACCACUAGAGGAGAAAUGGAAAGGACUAUAUCAAAUAUUACUGACAAAGAACGAAGAAAGUGCCCAGCCCACAGCAGCAAGUGGAACAGACUGCACCAAUGAAACAGAAACCUUUGCAUAAACGAACAAAACUUA